rnacentral:rRNA from 1 species
CCUACGGGUGGCAGCAGUGAGGAAUAUUGGUCAAUGGGCGCAAGCCUGAACCAGCCAAGCCGCGUGAGGGAUGACGGUCCUAUGGAUUGUAAACUUCUUUUGUCGGGGAGCAAGGCCCGCCACGUGUGGCGGGAAGGAGAGUACCCGAAGAAAAAGCAGCGGCUAACUCCGGGCCAGCAGCCGCGGUAAUACGGGGGAGGCGAGCGUUAUCCGGAUUUGUUGGGGUUGAAGGGUGCGUAGGCUGGCAGGUAAGUCAGCGGUGAAAUGCCCCGGGUCAACGGGGUGAAGUGCCAUUGAUACUGCCUUGCUAGAGUGCGGAUGCGGUAGGAGGAAUGUGUGGUGUAGCGGUGAAAUGCAUAGAUAUCAGACAGAACACCGAUUGCGAAGGCAUCUUACGAAUCCGCGAUUGACGCUGAUGCACGAAAGCGUGGGUAGCAAACAGGAUUAGAUACCCGUGUAGUC